CCUGACUGCUAUCGGAUUGAUACUAAGCCAUGCGAGUCAUUGUAGUAAUACAAGGCAGACGGCUCAGUAACGCGUAGUCAACCUAACCUAUGGACGGGAAUAACCUCGGGAAACUGAGUAUAAUGCCCGAUAGAACAUUAUGCCUGGAAUGGUUUAUGUUCCAAAUGAUUUAUCGCCGUAGGAUGGGACUGCGGCCUAUCAGUUUGUUGGUGAGGUAAUGGCCCACCAAGACUAUUACAGGUACGGGCUCUGAGAGGAGUAGCCCGGAGAUGGGUACUGAGACACGGACCCAGGCCCUAUGGGGCGCAGCAGGCGAGAAAACUUUGCAAUGUGCGAAAGCACGACAAGGUUAAUCCGAGUGGUUUCUGCUAAAGGAACCUUUUGUCAGUCCUAGAAACACUGGUGAAUAAGGGGUGGGCAAGUUCUGGUGUCAGCCGCCGCGGUAAAACCAGCACCUCAAGUGGUCAGGAUGAUUAUUGGGCCUAAAGCAUCCGUAGCCUGCUUUGUUAGUUUUCGGUUAAAUCCAUACGCUCAACGUAUGGGCUGCCGGAAAUACUGCAAAGCUAGGGAGUGGGAGAGGUAGACGGUACUCGGUAGGAAGGGGUAAAAUCCUUUGAUCUAUUGAUGACCACCUGUGGCGAAGGCGGUCUACCAGAACACGUCCGACGGUGAGGGAUGAAAGCUGGGGGAGCAAACCGGAUUAGAUACCCGGGUAGUCCCAGCUGUAAACUAUGCAAACUCAGUGAUGCAUUGGCUUGAUGCCAAUGCAGUGCUGCAGGGAAGCCGUUAAGUUUGCCGCCUGGGAAGUACGUACGCAAGUAUGAAACUUAAAGGAAUUGGCGGGGGAGCACCACAAGGGGUGAAGCCUGCGGUUC
rnacentral:rRNA from 1 species